GGCUCGGUAGCUUAGUUGGUAAAGCGCUCGUCUAGCAUACAAGAGUCCUGGGUUCAAAUCGCAGCCGAGCAC
rnacentral:tRNA from 1 species